rnacentral:rRNA from 1 species
AAAGAAAGAACUCCGAUGCGGAAGCAGCCCACAAGGCUUUACUGACGCUUAAAGCUGAAGGUGGCGGGUAUCGACAGAUAGAAUACCCUGGUAGUCCGCACGUAAACGAUGAUGCCCGCUGUUUGCGAUAUACUGUGAGCGCAAGAGAAAUCGUUAAGCAUCCCACUGGGGAGUACGCGGCAACGGUGAAACUCAAAGGAAGUGGACGGGGCCCGCACAAGCGGAGGAACAUGUGGUUUAAUUCGAUGAUACAGACGAGAACGUUACCCGGGCUUGAACUGCAGCAGAAGGAUACAGAGAUGUUGACGCCUUCGGGGCUGCUGUGGAGGUGCUGCAUGGUGUCGUCAGCUCGUGCCGUGAGGUGUCGGCUUAAGUGCCAUAACGAGCGCAACCCUUUUCGCCAGUUGCCAUCAGGUGAUGCUGGGCACUCCGGCGACACUGCCACCGUAAGGUGUGAGGAAGGUGGGGAUGACGUCAAAUCAGCACGGCCCUUACGUCCGGGGCUACACACGUGUUACAAUGGGGAGUACAGAGAGUCAGGUGCCGGCAACGUCACCUUAAUCAAGAAAGCUCUCCUCAGUUCGGAUUGGGGUCUGCAACCCGACCCCAUGAAGCUGGAUUCGCUAGUAAUCGCGGCAUCAGCCAUGGCGCGGUGAAUACGUUCCCGGGCCUUGUACACACCGCCCUAAUCUGA